rnacentral:rRNA from 1 species
UACAGAGGUCUCAAGCGUUGUUCGGAUUCAUCGGGCGUAAAGGGUGCGUAGGCGGCGCGGUAAGUCGGGUGUGAAAUCUCGGGGCUUAACUCCGAAACUGCAUUCGAUACUGCCGUGCUUGAGGACUGGAGAGGAGACUGGAAUUUACGGUGUAGCGGUGAAAUGCGCAGAUAUCAGGAGGAACACCCGUAGCGAAGGCGGCACUCUGGGCCGAUACUGACACUGAGGAGCGAAAGCGUGGGGAGCGAACAGG